AUUGCACAAUGGGGGAAACCCUGAUGCAGCAACGCCGCGUGAGUGAUGAAGGUUUUCGGAUCGUAAAGCUCUGUCUUUGGGGAAGAUAAUGACGGUACCCAAGGAGGAAGCCACGGCUAACUACGUGCCAGCAGCCGCGGUAAUACGUAGGUGGCAAGCGUUAUCCGGAUUUACUGGGCGUAAAGAGCUCGUAGGUGGUUGGUCACGUCUGCUGUGGAAACGCAACGCUUAACGUUGCGCGUGCAGUGGGUACGGGCUGACUAGAGUGCAGUAGGGGAGACUGGAAUUCCUGGUGUAGCGGUGAAAUGCGCAGAUAUCAGGAGGAACACCGGUGGCGAAGGCGGGACUCUGGGCUGUAACUGACACUGAGGAGCGAAAGCAUGGGGAGCGAACAGGAUUAGAUACCCUGGUAGUCCAUGCCGUAAACGUUGGGCACUAGGUGUGGGGGACAUUCCACGUUCUCCGCGCCGUAGCUAACGCAUUAAGUGCCCCGCC
rnacentral:rRNA from 1 species